UACAGAGGUCUCAAGCGUUGUUCGGAUUCAUUGGGCGUAAUGGGUGCGUAGGCGGCGCGGUAAGUCGGGUGUGAAAUCUCGGAGCUUAACUCCGAAACUGCAUUCGAUACUGCCGUGCUUGAGGACUGGAGAGGAGACUGGAAUUUACGGUGUAGCGGUGAAAUGCGUAGAUAUCGUAAGGAAGACCAGUGGCGAAGGCGGGUCUCUGGACAGUUCCUGACGCUGAGGCACGAAGGCCAGGGGAGCAAACGGG
rnacentral:rRNA from 1 species